UGAAGGUCUGAGGACAGCAGCCGGGGAGGGACCAAGGCCACAGAAGAAAGCCGUGGGAGGGGAGGCUGGGGAGGAGGGGCCGAGGAGGCCACGACGAAGCCUUCAGAGAGGUCAGGUGCUAAGAACAGAUGAGUUAGGGGAGCACUACAAGGGGCGGGGCUGAGGGAAUCCUGCGAGGGGCGGGGCUGGGAGGGCCUGUGAGGGCUGAACUGUAAGCCUUGUGAAGGGCGGGACUGUAGGCCGGGCGAGGGGCGGAGCUGUGGAGGACUAGGAUGGGCGGGGCUGAAAGGGCCUUUGAGGAGAGGAGAAUGUGUGAGCCUGAGGCGCGGCGCUUCGGGGCUAGCGAGGGAAGGGCAGAGCUGCAAAGACUGGAGAGGGCUAGGGCUGCGGGACCUGACGAAGGCAGAGCCACAGAUAACCGUCCUGAGCAGGACUUCGGAGCUUUGAAAGGGGAGGGGCAAGAAUACCUGUAAAGGGCGGGGCUGCGGGCCCUGUGAGGGGUGGGGCUUCGGGGGGUGGCGAGGGGUGUGGCUGGAAGAACACGUGAGAGACCUGGCGGGAGGGCGCUGAAGGACGCAGGUUCCCAAGACUUGUAGGGGGUGCUGAGGCUAACCGCCGAGAUGAUCUGUGUGGGGAGCACGAGGUUGUGAGGGGUAGGCUGUGUGUCUCCAGGAGGGAGAGGCAGUAGCUGGAAGAGCCUGUGGAGGCAGGGCUGGGAGGGGAACGUCUGGAAGGCUUUGGAACUGUGCCGAAGUCCUUCGGGAUGGGGCGCGAGAGAUGCGUGUAUUAAGCUGAUUAAAACCACGUUAUUUUGAGGCUUCAUUAGCAGGCAGGCGGUGCCGAUGCCGGGAGUUGUGAGGGAGAGGAGCGCUUACCACCGCCUCAAGUCCUCGAAGCCGCUCACUACGCAUGCGCGGCCAACGGCCUCGGGAGAGACUGCCAAAACCUCAGCUGCCAGAGCUGUCCGCGCUCUGAGAGGCGGAAGUGGGCGGGGCCUAGGGCGCUCCGUGCCGCCCCUGCUUUCCGGUCACGCCCUCCCGGGCACGCCCCCGAGCUCCGCAGGGCACGCCCUCCUUGACGGCCGCCUGCUGUCCACGUGGGCCUUCGCAGAGCCUGCUGUCUGUGGGCGCUGCCUUGCAGGCUGGGUGUGCCCAACGCCUGCGGUUUCCUGUGGGAGGAAGAGGCCCGCGGGCGCUCAGCUCGUGGCUUUGGAGGCCCUGGAGGGGAAGAUUCCACCACCGCCCUCGGAUACCCAGCCAUCCCAUCAUCCAGUUCCUUUCCCUUGUGGGGACCAAGAUUUCAGUCCUCCAGGUCUUAAUUCCACAUCAGGACCCCAGACACCUGGCUCCCUGUCCCUUGCUUUUCACCAAGCACCAACCCUCCAUAGAGACCCAGGUACAUAGUAGUAAUCACGCCCCACACUUAUUCAAUAAUCUAAGAAAUAAUAAUGAUAACAAUAAUAGUUACUAAUAACAUUG
rnacentral:lncRNA from 1 species